rnacentral:rRNA from 1 species
AGUGAACGCUGGCGGUAGGCCUAACACAUGCAAGUCGAACGGCAGCACAGUAAGAGCUUGCUCUUACGGGUGGCGAGUGGCGGACGGGUGAGGAAUACAUCGGAAUCUACUUUUUCGUGGGGGAUAACGUAGGGAAACUUACGCUAAUACCGCAUACGACCUACGGGUGAAAGCAGGGGAUCUUCGGACCUUGCGCGAUUGAAUGAGCCGAUGUCGGAUUAGCUAGUUGGCGGGGUAAAGGCCCACCAAGGCGACGAUCCGUAGCUGGUCUGAGAGGAUGAUCAGCCACACUGGAACUGAGACACGGCCCAGACUCCUACAGGAGGCAGCAGUGGGGAAUAUUAGACAAUGGGGGCAAGCCUGAUCCAGCCAUACCGCGUGGGUGAAGAAGGACUUCGGGUUGUAAAGCCCUUUUGUUGGGAGAGAAAAGCAGCAGGUUAAUACCCCGCUGUUCUGACGGUACCCAAAGAAUAAGCACCGGCUAACUUCGUG